rnacentral:rRNA from 1 species
GACGAACGCUGGCGGCGUGCCUAACACAUGCAAGUCGAGCGGGGUUGAGGCGAGAGGUAACUCGAACUUCUACCUAGCGGCGGACGGGUGAGUAACGCGUGGGCAACCUGCCUCAAGGUUUGGGAUAACAGCCCGAAAGGGCUGCUAAUACCGGAUAUGCCUAUGGCCUCGCAUGGGGCUAUGAGCAAAGGGGAAACCCGCCUUGAGAUGGGCCCGCGUCCCAUCAGCUAGUUGGUGAGGUAACGGCUCACCAAGGCAUCGAUGGGUAUGGGGUCUUAAAGGAUGGUCCCACACACUGGCACUGAGACACGGGCCAGACUCCUACGGGAGGCAGCAGUGAGGAAUAUUGGUCAAUGGGUGAGAGCCUGAACCAGCCAUCCCGCGUGCAGGAUGACGGUCCUAGUGAUUGUAAACUGUCUUUUCUAUGAGAUGAAUAAGAAUUACGUGUAGUUCGAUGACCGUAUUAUAGGAAUAAGCAUCGGCUAACUCCGUG